UGAUCAGCCAUGCCGCGUGAGUGAUGAAGGCCUUAGGGUUGUAAAGCUCUUUCACCGAUGAAGAUAAUGACGGUAGUCGGAGAAGAAGCCCCGGCUAACUUCGUGCCAGCAGCCGCGGUAAUACGAAGGGGGCUAGCGUUGUUCGGAAUUACU
rnacentral:rRNA from 1 species